UACGUAGGGGGCAAGCGUUGUCCGGAAUUAUUGGGCGUAAAGAGCGCGUAGGCGGUCCGGUAAGUCGGUUGUGAAAGUCGGGGGCUCAACCCUCGAAUGCCGGUGGAUACUGUCGGGCUAGAGUGCGGAAGAGGCGAGUGGAAUUCCUGGUGUAGCGGUGAAAUGCGCAGAUAUCAGGAGGAACACCUAUUGCGAAGGCAGCUCGCUGGGACGUAACUGACGCUGAGACGCGAAAGCGUGGGGAGCAAACAGG
rnacentral:rRNA from 1 species